CAGCCGUAAACUAUGCGCGUUAGGUGUAUCGGUGACCACGAGUCACCGAGGUGCCGAAGGGAAACCGUGAAACGUGCCGCCUGGGAAGUACGGCCGCAAGGCUGAAACUUAAAGGAAUUGGCGGGGGAGCACAACAACGGGUGGAGCCUGCGGUUUAAUUGGACUCAACGCCGGGAAGCUCACCGGAUAGGACAGCAGAAUGAUUGCCGGGCUGAAGACCCUGCAUGACUAGCUGAGAGGUGGUGCAUGGCGUCAGUGACU
rnacentral:rRNA from 1 species